UACGUAGGGUGCGAGCGUUAAUCGGAAUUACUGGGCGUAAAGCGUGCGCAGGCGGUUCGUUGUGUCGGCGGUGAAAGCCCAGGGCUCAACCUUGGAAUUGCAUUUGAGACUGAAUAGCUAGGGUGCGGAAGAGGGAAGCGGAAUUUCCGGUGUAGCGGUGAAAUGCGUAGAUAUCGGAAGGAACACCAGUGGCGAAAGCGGCUUCCUGGUCCAGCACCGACGUUCAGGCACGAAAGCGUGGGGAGCAAACAGG
rnacentral:rRNA from 1 species